rnacentral:rRNA from 1 species
UACAGGGGGUGCAAACGUUGCUCGGAAUCAUUGGGCGUAAAGCGCACGUAGGCGGUCUGUUAUGUCGGAUGUGAAAGCCCUUGGCUCAACUGAGGAAGUGCAUCCGAAACUGGCAGGGGAAGAUGGAAUUACCGGUGUAGCGGUGAAAUGCGUAGAGAUCGGUAGGAGCACCAGUGGCGAAGGGGGUCUUCUGGAGCAGGAGUGACGCUGAGGCGCGAGAGGUGGGGGAGCGAACGGG